rnacentral:rRNA from 1 species
UGGCUCAGGACGAACGCUGGCGGCGUGCUUAACACAUGCAAGUCGAACGGUGAAGGUGGGAGCUUGCUCCUGCUGGAUCAGUGGCGAACGGGUGAGUAACACGUGAGUAACCUGCCCUUGACUCUGGGAUAAGCGUUGGAAACGACGUCUAAUACCGGAUACGAGCUUCAGCCGCAUGGCUAGGAGUUGGAAAGAAUUUCGGUCAAGGAUGGACUCGCGGCCUAUCAGCUUGUUGGUGAGGUAAUGGCUCACCAAGGCGACGACGGGUAGCCGGCCUGAGAGGGUGACCGGCCACACCGGGACUGAGACACGGCCCAGACUCCUACGGGAGGCAGCAGUGGGGAAUAUUGCACAAUGGGCGCAAGCCUGAAUGCAGCAACGCCGCGUGAGGGACGACGGCCUUCGGGUUGUAAACCUCUUUUAGCAGGGAAGAAGCGAAAGUGACGGUACCUGCAGAAAAAGCACCGGCUAACUACGUGCCAGCCGCGGC